ensembl:lncRNA
UGUUUAGGGUGUCUAGUGAGGCCAGUACACAUCUGGAUUCACUAGGUGGCAGGGUCUGCCUGCGAGAGUGAAACGUGCCGUGGUAUGGUGCUCGCAUGGGACAGAGCAGCAGGUGGAGAGCAUAUUUCCUCAGAGAUGCCAAAAGCGAGAGUCCAAAAGAUCUCUAUCUAAAGAUGGUAUGCAAUUCAUUACCAAAUGCAAAACAGCCUUCCACAGCAUAGUUCACUGAUGAGCAAGAGACUUACAUUUAGUUGAUUGAAAAGGAAAAGGAGAUUCGCUAUCAAAAUGGCUGUGAACCGUGUCUUUGGGUAGAAAAAACACCACUGAAAACGGCUUAGCAACUUCUUCCUCUGUCCUUUUGAUAUUCAAUAAAUUUAAAGAUGCUUGUUAAGUUUUGGGCGGACUGAGAUUCACGUUUGCUCUCAUAUCCUGCACUUGGCCUGACAGAAACAGCUUUUGAUUCUUGUUUGGAAACUUGUGCUCAAGGCUAACAAACUGCAGGUGCGUGCAAUGUGAGGUUCUGCUGGCCAGUGCAGGCAGGACCUGAGGCCCUGUCAGCUGAAAGCCUCACCUCUUACAAGAAGCCUUGAUUUAGGGGUGGGCUUUUCAUGAAGAAAAGGGUGUUAGAGGUGCUGGUGGAAGCUACAAGAGAGAGGAGCAAAAGCAGAAAUCAUACUCCUGCUCUAUGUGGGGGUUAAUAGCAGGGUGAAGUUUGGCACCAAAUGAGCUCCCUGGGGCCGUAAGCUAGGAUGGUUUGAUCAUGUCUGGAAUGAAAACCAGAGUAAGGUCCUGCUUUCUGAGUUAUGGGUCAGUGCUGUUGAUUGGCAAAAAGAUCAUACUUGGGAAUAGCAAUAACCCUGACCACAGUAUUUGAAUGUGCUCAUCCCAAAAGCGUGCUUUGGUGCGGAGACAGUUUCCGUUAUUCUCUGAACGAAGCACGAUGGUUUUCAACCUUCCUUCUGCAGAUUGCAACAUGUCAUAUGUUGGGUGUAUAUUUUCUAUAUAGAAAUCCAUUUCUUUACUGGAAAGUUUUAGGGACCUCCGGAUUACCAAAGCUUGAAAACCACCAGUGUUGCAGCCUGCUCCAUUUGUACUGCAGAGGUAUCUGUUCUGACCAAAACCUAUGUUUGAUGUGAUAUGCUUGGACUGACAAACAAAACCACAGCGCUCGUACUCCGCACCACUCUAACAGCAGUUAGCAGAGAAUUCAAAAGUGGUUUGGAAAAAGUAGAUGCUUUUGCUUCCUUCGCAGCCGCUACAAAAAGGAGAAGUUAAGGAACUGGGAGAGAAAGUGAGUGAUGAAUAGAACCAGACACAAAACGCACGUCUCCUAACUUGUUUCGUGCCCUUUGUAGAUAAGA